rnacentral:rRNA from 1 species
UACGUAGGCAGCAAGCGUUGUUCGGAGUUACUGGGCGUAAAGGGUGCGUAGGCGGCUUUUUAAGUCUGGUGUGAAAUCUCCCGGCUCAACUGGGAGGGUGCGCCGGAUACUGAGGGGCUAGAGUGUGGGAGAGGAAAGUGGAAUUCCUGGUGUAGCGGUGAAAUGCGUAGAUAUCAGGAGGAACACCGGUGGUGUAAACGGCUUUCUGGACCAUAACUGACGCUGAGGAGCGAAAGCGUGGGGAGCGAACAGG